UGUCUUCGGGGCGGGGUGCGAUUCCCCACCGGCGGUAAGGGAGCAGCCUCCCGCAGCCCGCGAACCCGGCGCGUUCAGUGCCGGGCCGAUUUGGUGAAAUUCCAAAGCCGACGGUAUUCCGCAGCAGUGCGGUCAGUCCGGAUGAAAGAAGACG
rnacentral:ncRNA from 1 species